CUAGUGGACCCCUGUACUCUACCCCCGAGGAGAAGAGUAAGGGCCAAAUCUUGAAGUGUGUUCUCAAGUCUUAGGACCCAAUUCAGGAAAUCAUCCCCAUUCAAGACAGCAGUUUUAUUUGAUGAAGGAAAUUAUAGUUGUCAUCUGCCCUUUAGAAAUCCCACUGGAGAAAAGAUCAAUAUGACACAAGGACAAAUUUCCAG